UGUGGGAGGCCGGGCCCCGGUGCCAGGCUGAGACCAGGUCGAGCAACGUUCCCUGUUGACUCAAGCCAACCCAGUGGUUCCCCCUCCCAUUCCCCCACUCUCAAGGGCAUACGAAAGCCUUGUCAAGGCUGAGAAAGUUAAUUCCUGAAGCCUGUGGUCUGCAGGUGUUGGCAGUAAUGCUACCUCCCUUUUUCUACCCCGAGUCAGAUAGAAACAAACAUGGGAAUUGUGUUUUGCUAGCAAUCUUAUCAACAAGGUCUUGUGACCCGUCUAGAAAAUGCACAAGAAACACAGAACUAAAUGUUUUGGUGGGCAGCGAUUAUGUGAAACCUGUUUAUUCUUAGAAUGACCUGACCCAUAAGAGUCUGGAUAUAAAAGACUGUGUACAGCAACAAUAAAGCCGUCACUUGGGCCAUCAGCCCAGGGGACCCUCCUGUUCCCAAA